UUUCGUCAAUGGCUGUACAUUGCCUGUCAAGUGGUUACCCUACAAGAAAACGUUCACGCCUGCUUGUAACAAACAUGAUGUUUGCUAUACAUGUGCUGCAGCUUAUGGAAUAUCAAGGGCAACAUGUGAUAACAAGUUUUACCACAAUAUGAGGGAAAUUUGCGGGAGACGGUGGCUUUGCAAAAAGGCGGCUAAAGCUUAUGUUUGGGGAACGAAGAAAUACGGAAGAAAAUAUUUCAAUCAACGAGCUUCAGCCGGCUGCCGUGAUCAUUGGGUGAAACAGUGUCUGUGAUUGUGUGUUAUCACAUCACGCCAUGCAUUUCAUGCAUUCAAUAAAAUGAUAUUGGCAUCAAUA